AGACGAGGCUACCGCCUCUCCUCAGCCCGAACGGCAGCGAAGUAACGACUGGAUAAAUCAAUCGCUUAUUCCUG
rnacentral:ncRNA from 1 species